rnacentral:rRNA from 1 species
AACGAACGCUGGCGGCAUGCCUAACACAUGCAAGUCGAACGAGACCUUCGGGUCUAGUGGCGCACGGGUGCGUAACGCGUGGGAACCUGCCCUUAGGUUCGGAAUAACUCCCCGAAAGGGGUGCGAAUACCGGAUCUUGUCUUCGGACCAAAGAUUUAGCGCCUUUGGAUGGGCCCGCGUUGUAUUAGCUAGUUGGUAGGGUAAAAGCCUACCAAGGCGACGUUACAUAGCUGGUCUGAGAGGAUGAUCAGCCACACUGGGACUGAGACACGGCCCAGACUCCUACGGGAGGCAGCAGUGGGGAAUAUUGGACAAUGGGGGAAAGCCUGAUCCAGCAAUGACGCGUGAGUGAUGAAGGCCUUAGGGUUGUAAAGCUCUUUUACCCGGGAUGAUAAUGACAUUACCGGGAGAAUAAGCUCCGGCUAACUCCGUG